UACGUAGGGGGCAAGCGUUGUCCGGACUCAUUGGGCGUAAAGAGCGUGUAGGCGGCCAGGUAGGUCGGUUGUGAAAACUCGAGGCUCAACCUCGAGAUGUCGGCGGAAACCGUCUGGCUAGAGUCCGGAAGAGGAGAGUGGAAUUCCUGGUGUAGCGGUGAAAUGCGCAGAUAUCAGGAAGAACACCGGUGGCGAAGGCGGAUCUCUGGGCCUUGCCUGACGCUGAGGCGCGAAAGCUAGGGGAGCGAACAGG
rnacentral:rRNA from 1 species